UGGGGAAUAUUGGACAAUGGGGGAAACCCUGAUCCAGCGACGCCGCGUGUGUGAAGAAGGCCUGCGGGUUGUAAAGCACUUUCGGUGGGAACGAAGUAUGCCGGGCUAAUACCCCGGUAGGCUGACGUUACUCAAUGAAGAAGCACCGGCUAACUCUGUGCCAGCAGCCGCGGUAAUACAGAGGGUGCGAGCGUUAAUCGGAAUUACUGGGCGUAAAGGGUGCGUAGGUGGUUUGAUAAGUUAGGUGUGAAAGUCCUGGGCUUAACCUGGGGAUUGCGCCUGAUACUGUUAGACUAGAGUACUGUAGAGGAAAGUGGAAUUUCCGGUGUAGCGGUGAAAUGCGUAGAUAUCGGAAGGAACAUCAGUGGCGAAGGCGACUUUCUGGACAGAUACUGACACUGAGGCACGAAAGCAUGGGGAGCGAAACAGGAUUAGAUACCCCAGUAGUCCCUGAGCGGGCUGGCAAGGCGCAU
rnacentral:rRNA from 1 species